UAGGGAAUCUUCGGCAAUGGACGAAAGUCUGACCGAGCAACGCCGCGUGAGUGAAGAAGGUUUUCGGAUCGUAAAACUCUGUUGUUAGAGAAGAACAAGGACGUUAGUAACUGAACGUCCCCUGACGGUAUCUAACCAGAAAGCCACGGCUAACUACGUGCCAGCAGCCGCGGUAAUACGUAGGUGGCAUGCGUUGUCCGGAUUUAUUGGGCGUAAAGCGAGCGCAGGCGGUUUCUUAAGUCUGAUGUGAAAGCCCCCGGCUCAACCGGGGAGGGUCAUUGGAAACUGGGAGACUUGAGUGCGGAAGAGGAGAGUGGAAUUCCGUGUGUAGCGGUGAAAUGCGUAGAUAAAUGGAGGAACACCAGUGGCAAAGGCGGCUCUAUGGACUGUAACAGACGCUGAGGCUCGAAAGCGAGGGGAGCAAACAGG
rnacentral:rRNA from 1 species